UGUGAACCAUACCAAACUGUUGCCUCGGCGGGGUCACGCCCCGGGUGCGUCGCAGCCCCGGAACCAGGCGCCCGCCGGAGGGACCAACCAAACUCUUUUCUGUAGUCCCCUCGCGGACGUUAUUUCUUACAGCUCUGAGCAAAAAUUCAAAAUGAAUCAAAACUUUCAACAACGGAUCUCUUGGUUCUGGCAUCGAUGAAGAACGCAGCGAAAUGCGAUAAGUAAUGUGAAUUGCAGAAUUCAGUGAAUCAUCGAAUCUUUGAACGCACAUUGCGCCCGCCAGUAUUCUGGCGGGCAUGCCUGUCCGAGCGUCAUUUCAACCCUCGAACCCCUCCGGGGGGUCGGCGUUGGGGAUCGGGAACCCCUAAGACGGGAUCCCGGCCCCGAAAUACAGUGGCGGUCUCGCCGCAGCCUCUCCUGCGCAGUAGUUUGCACAACUCGCACCGGGAGCGCGGCGCGUCCACGUCCGUAAAACACCCAACUUCUGAAAUGUUGACCUCGGAUCAGGUAGGAAUACCCGCUGAACUUAAGCAUAUCAA
rnacentral:rRNA from 1 species